rnacentral:rRNA from 1 species
UAUUGGACAAUGGGCGAAAGCCUGAUCCAGCAAUGCCGCGUGAGUGAUGAAGGCCUUAGGGUUGUAAAGCUCUUUUACCCGGGAUGAUAAUGACAGUACCGGGAGAAUAAGCUCCGGCUAACUCCGUGCCAGCAGCCGCGGUAAUACGGAGGGAGCUAGCGUUGUUCGGAAUUACUGGGCGUAAAGCGCACGUAGGCGGCUUUGUAAGUUAGAGGUGAAAGCCUGGAGCUCAACUCCAGAAUUGCCUUUGAUACUGCAUCGCUUGAAUCCAGGAGAGGUGAGUGGAAUUCCGAGUGUAGAGGUGAAAUUCGUAGAUAUUCGGAAGAACACCAGUGGCGAAGGCGGCUCACUGGACUGGUAUUGACGCUGAGGUGCGAAA